GCGGAUGUUAUUCAAUGGCAGAAUAUCAGCUUCCCAAGCUGACUACGCGGGUUCGAUUCCCGUCAUCCG
rnacentral:tRNA from 1 species